AAUGUCGUAACAAGGGUUUUCCGUAGGUGAACCUGCGGAAGGAUCAUUAAAAUGUGAUUGGGUUUAUACAUUUCAUGUAUCAAUCUGCAUUAACCCAUUCCGAGUACCUUGCCUGUUGCUUCCAUGGGGCCUACCUAGGUCACUCUUGUGAUGUGAAAAUCCCAAGAGAGUUCCCCAUUGGGGAAGGUAAUCAUUAAAUUUCAUGUAUCCAAUGUCUUCUGCUGAACUGUUUAUAACAAUGUUAAAA
rnacentral:misc_RNA from 1 species